ACAGGCCCACUUUCAUUUCCCCAUCCUCCUAAAACCUCUCGAGCCAAAGUGGAUGUUGAUACGAUGGCUCUGCUGCCACCUCCUGUCGGCCACUACGUUCUUUUCUUUUUCUAAAAAUAUCUUUAAAUCCUCUCUCUCUCUCUCUCUCUCUCUCUCUGGUAACGGUGAAUGGCAUCGUAUUGCGGGGGUUUCAAGGAUUACUUCGCUGUAUCAAUGACGAGAUUUGAUUAUUCCCGCGGGGAAAGGGGGUGCUUUCUACAAAAUUAUAGUCUAAAUAGUCGAGAAGUUCGAUUUGGGCUGGAGAUUGACGAUGAGAGGUUUAUCUAGAAGUGGCUGUUGAUGUUCUUGGCUGCGAUGGUGAUGAGGAUGGCCAUGGAUUUUCCCAUUGUGAAAACGCAACUGUAGAUCGUUGGAUGCUUUGUGGAUUGACCUACCAGUGUGAUUGACUUGAAUAGGCUGGUAAAUGGCUUGAUCAAGUGAUCUUUGGCUGACUUGUUUGGAGGCCAAAAGAAGUGCUUUAUGAAUUCAAUAGGUGGAAGCAAACUUUGAUCUGUGACAGGUUGAUCACUAUGAGUGGUACAGGGAGGAUCACCAAGACCAGAAAAAAUGAGCGUCUUAAGGAACUUCAGGCAAAAAUUAAGGAACUCUAAACACUUGUGGUGGAGCUUUCCAAUGCUGAGGAUGUACCAGCAGAGCUUGAGACCACCCAUGGGAACACUAGAGGGACUGCGGAGCCACUUGAUGCCUUGGAAGGAUUGCUGAAAUGGAGACCCUUGUGGCUCAAAUAUAAUUUAGAGAACAGGAUAAUGCAGCUUGAGGCCUUUCAGAGCAGUAUUGAUUAAGUGGAUGCAUUUGGGGCAAAAAUAAACGAGCUUGAAAUGAUGAUGCCUAGACUAACUUCUCUUCAGGGACAACUAAAAGAGGUGGAGGCCACUGAACAACGUAAGCUUUCUGAAAAUUUUGAUAUGCUUGCUCGUAACGUCAAAGAAUCCACAAGCUUCUUCAAUGAGAGAUUGAAUGAGUGGACAAAUGAAUACAUAGGCUCAACUCCAAAGCCAAGUGCAAGAGUUGGAUUGAAUAUGACUAAGCAAAUGGUAACAAGUUGGAGGCGAAAGUUGAGAUGGAGAAGCUGAAAUUGCCACGGCCACAGGCUUCUGGGGGUGCAGGAUAUGGCAAUACGGUGGAUGAUUUUCUCUUUGACUUAGAGAUGCAUUUCAAGGCAGCUAGAAUCGAAACUGACAAGGCAAGAGUGGCACUGGCUUUCAUAUAUCUCAUUGGUGAAGCGAAGGCAUGGUGGAGAAGGAAAUACGAAGACAUCCAAAACCACCAAUGCACUAUGAAGUACGAACAAUUGGGAAGACUUGAAGCGGGAACUUGUGGCACGUUUCAGUCCCGUGUCUAGUGAUUUGGCCCCCACCUUCAACAUAUCCACACUUGGGUCCCAGUGGAAAUUGAAAUUGUGACUGAAUUGUUGGGUGUCUUAUGUAUUUUGAGCAAUUGAACAUUAAUGGUGUUGAGUGUGAUUGUGUGUGAGAAUAAAAUUAAAUGCAUAGAGUACGUAGUAAACUGAAAGAGGAGGUGAGGGCAGGCAUAUCUGCUUGUGCUUGUUCGAUCACUGUGGUGCCUUAAUUCCUUUUAUUUUUCUUCCUAUCCCAAACAUUGCUCAGAGUUUUUAACUACAUGUCUCUUUGUGAAUUUGGCAUCCCUUCUAUGGAUUAAUGUUGACUGAUUUUCCACA